rnacentral:rRNA from 1 species
GACGAACGCUGGCGGCGUGCUUAACACAUGCGAGUCGAACGGAAAGGCCCUGCUUGCAGGGUACUCGAGUGGCGAACGGGUGAGUAACACGUGGGUGAUCUGCCCUGCACUUCGGGAUAAGCCUGGGAAACUGGGUCUAAUACCGGAUAGGAGCCAUUUUUAGUGUGAUGGUUGGAAAGUUUUUUCGGUGUAGGAUGAGCUCGCGGCCUAUCAGCUUGUUGGUGGGGUAAUGGCCUACCAAGGCGGCGACGGGUAGCCGGCCUGAGAGGGUGGACGGCCACAUUGGGACUGAGAUACGGCCCAGACUCCUACGGGAGGCGGCAGUGGGGAAUAUUGCACAAUGGGCGCAAGCCUGAUGCAGCGACGCCGCGUGGGGGAUGACGGCCUUCGGGUUGUAAACUCCUUUCGCUAGGGACGAAGCUUUUUGUGACGGUACCUAGAUAAGAAGCACCGGCUAACUACGUG